rnacentral:tRNA from 1 species
GUGCUUGUGAUGUAGUGGUCAUCACAUCCGCCUAACACGCGGAAGGUCCCAGGUUCGAUCCCUGGCAGGCACA